rnacentral:rRNA from 1 species
GACGUAGGGGGCGAGCGUUGUCCGGAAUUACUGGGCGUAAAGGGCUCGUAGGCGGCCAACUAAGUCAGACGUGAAAUCCCUCGGCUUAACCGGGGAACUGCGUCUGAUACUGGUUGGCUUGAAUCCGGGAGAGGGAUGUGGAAUUCCAGGUGUAGCGGUGAAAUGCGUAGAUAUCUGGAGGAACACCGGUGGCGAAGGCGGCAUCCUGGACCGGUAUUGACGCUGAGGAGCGAAAGCCAGGGGAGCAAACGGG